UAGAAAAGCUUAGACAUUCAUAGGAAUAAGACCUCCAGCUAUUUAUGGGUUGAUUACAAGCUCAGUAUGAUUCAAUUGAUGAUUAGAUAGUAGACAUCACCUGUUACGAUUGGAGCCCUGUGGCCAAGAGGACGCCUGUGAACUAUUUCACCUGAUUAGGCCACGCUGGGAUUUUUUGCUUGGGUGAGAGGUCGUGCUUCCCCAGGACACGGGCAGCAGCCUGGAGAGAGGAGUCUCAGAGGGUAACCCUGCUCUUCUCAAAUAUGGAAAGCUCCUAUGUGGAAGGGCAGUGAGUGGGAUUUAUCUUUUUCUGGGGAUUCCAGAUGGCAGAAAGUUAGGCCCACACUGCUGAGCGGGAUUUGAGUGUGAGAAUCCAAGUACAGAAGCUGAAUUUGGGAAAAUAGUCUUGCUAAAGAAAGUGGCAGAUUUUCCCAAUUCCACAUUUUGGAAGUAUCAAGAGCUGUUUCAUGAGAUAAGCUGGCGAGAGGAAAUAGACUACUCUGGUAGGAAACUAGAGCAGGUGGGCAGGAGUGACUUUCC
rnacentral:lncRNA from 10 species